CUCAGCCACUCCUUCUGGUUACCAGGCAAAAGGAAACACCUUGAGCUGGCCAGGAGCCACCAGCGUCUGUCUACAUCUGGAUAAGGAACCAGAGGCUCAGAGAAGUUAGGCCACUGUCCCAGGUUCACACAGCCUGUAAGUACCACAGUGGAAUUUGAACCCAGUCCAACUGAUGUCAAAGCCCAGAAGCCAUUUGAAUGAAGCCAGGAAGAUUGCUUCAUCCAGAUGGGAAGUGCAGUGGCAUGACCAGAGCUCACUG